rnacentral:rRNA from 1 species
GACGAACGCUGGCGGCGUGCUUAACACAUGCAAGUCGAACGGAAAGGCCCUGCUUUUGUGGGGUGCUCGAGUGGCGAACGGGUGAGUAACACGUGAGUAACCUGCCCUUGACUUUGGGAUAACUUCAGGAAACUGGGGCUGAUACCGGAUAGGAGCUCCUGCUGCAUGGUGGGGGUUGGAAAGUUUCGGCGGUUGGGGAUGGACUCGCGGCUUAUCAGCUUGUUGGUGGGGUAGUGGCUUUCCAAGGCUUUGACGGGUAGCCGGCCUGAGAGGGUGACCGGCCACAUUGGGACUGAGAUACGGCCCAGACUCCUACGGGAGGCAGCAGUGGGGAAUAUUGCACAAUGGGCGGAAGCCUGAUGCAGCAACGCCGCGUGCGGGAUGACGGCCUUCGGGUUGUAAACCGCUUUCGCCUGUGACGAAGCGUGAGUGACGGUAAUGGGUAAAGAAGCACCGGCUAACUACGUG